rnacentral:lncRNA from 1 species
UGCGGUGCGGCUAUAGAAAAUGGAGUUUGAUGAGCUCCUCGCGCUGGAAAUGUUCGGCCAAGUUAGAACCAGAACACAUCAUGCGUACUGUAUGAUGACGUACUACGUAUUAUAUGUUGGUCGCCAUGGGUUCCACAACACUUUGUUGCUAUAUGAGUAUAUUCAAUUUAUUUGGAGCCUACUUAAUUAAUUAGGUCGAUUGAUAAUAUGUAGUGCUUAUUAUAUUGAAAUUCAAUUUGUAAGUGUGAUCUAGUAUAUUUAGAGCAUAAUAUAUGUUGACAUGAUUGGUUGCACAAAUUUGGCUCGGAUUGGUUGUUUUGAAGCGCUCCCAGCUGGCUGCCGUUUGGGGGAAAAAAGAAAAUUUCAAAAUUAUAAACUAAUAAUACUCUUUUACCCGCGUAUUGUAUGCCAACAUAAACCAAUAUAAUAAAAUAACAGAGCUGUUUUUGCCUUUUUGUUUUGUUUGGAGGACGUGAAAAACAAGCCUCGGCACUUUACUUUUGGAUGCAUGCAUGCACGAAGGAAGCAUCGAGAAGGCAGCAGCCGCUGUGUUUUUUGUUUGCGAGUAGAAUAGCUAGAGCCUUGUUUAGUCGUGAAAAUUGAAAACUUUUCGGUACUGUAGUACUUUCGUUUGUUUGUAAUAAAUAUUAUCUAAUCACGAACUAACUAGAAUUAAAAGAUUUAUCUUAUGAUUUAUAGCUAAACUGUGUAAUUAGUUUUUGUUUUCGUCUAUAUUUAAGCCUAGGUGGAGGGGUUGUGACAGCGACAAGGAUCAAUGUGAUAAGCGAGAGAGAAGAAGCGAAGCGGACGGAGACAGAUCACAGAGGGCCCCUCAGCUCUCUUUCUUUGGCACGUGGUGCACCUGUUGGCUGCUCCUCUGCUCUGGCGGCCAGUGGCCGGUAUACGUGCGAAUGCGACCACACACUACGUCCACGUAGACAGCCUUAGCCAGUUCGGCCGUUUUUUUUUUUUUCUUUUUUACUUUUUUUUGACAACAAGCGAGUUCGCUGGGGGCAGGGAAUGCGCAGCCGGCCGGCCUGGGCCGGCCAAGAUGCAGGCAUGCAGCGCGCCGCGUGUCGGAAGCGGGAUCGGAGGAUCUCUGCCCUUUGCUGCUAUACUCCGUAUCAGAAUAAACGACGUCCUGGCCUCUACCUUCGUUUGCGUUAAAAACGUCGUUUUGAAGCCACAGCCGCAAUGUGACGUCCUUGCCCUUGCCUUUUCAUUUGGCACGCCGUGCAUUUAUGCAUACCAACGCUCCGCACUGCACCUGCAUGUGUCUCGAUUCCCAUAGACACCACGCCUGCUCACCUCUCGUGCUUGCUAUCUUUAGCCAUUGUGUUGGCUGCUCGCACUCACCGCUUACCUCUCGCACUCGCUGCUCGCCUUGCUUCCUCACGUUCCACGGAUGCGAUGCCGGCGGACUGCUCGUCGGAGGAGUUAGCGCCGAACUCCAUGGAGAUGUCGGAGGAGGUGGC